GAUGAACGCUGGCGGGCGUGCUUAACACAUGCAAGUCGAACGAAGCACUUAUCUUUGAUUCUUCGGAUGAAGAGGUUUGUGACUGAGUGGCGGACGGGUGAGUAACGCGUGGGUAACCUGCCUCAUACGGGGGGAUAACAGUUAGAAAUGACUGCUAAUACCGCAUAAGACCACGGAGCCACAUGGCUCAGUGGGAAAAACUCCGGUGGGUAUGAGAUGGACCCGCGUCUGAUUAGGUAGGUGGGGGGGUGACGGCCUACCAAGCCAACGAUCAGUAGCCGACCUGAGAGGGUGACCGGCCACAUUGGGACUGAGACACGGCCCAAACUCCUACGGGAGGCAGCAGUGGGGAAUAUUGCACAAUGGGGGAAACCCUGAUGCAGCGACGCUGCGUGAGCGAAGAAGUAUUUCGGUAUGUAAAGCUCUAUCAGCAGGGAAGAAAAUGACGGUACCUGACUAAGAAGCACCGGCUAAAUACGUGCCAGCAGCCGCGGUAAUACGUAUGGUGCAAGCGUUAUCCGGAUUUACUGGGUGUAAAGGGAGCGUAGACGGCUGUGUAAGUCUGAAGUGAAAGCCCGGGGCUCAACCCCGGGACUGCUUUGGAAACUAUGCAGCUAGAGUGUCGGAGAGGUAAGUGGAAUUCCCAGUGUAGCGGUGAAAUGCGUAGAUAUUGGGAGGAAUACCAGUGGCGAAGGCGGCUUACUGGACGAUGACUGACGUUGAGGCUCGAAAGCGUGGGGAGCAAACAGGAUUAGAUACCCUGGUAGUCCACGCCGUAAACGAUGACUACUAGGUGUCGGGGAGCAAAGCUCUUCGGUGCCGCAGCAAACGCAAUAAGUAGUCCACCUGGGGAGUACGUUCGCAAGAAUGAAACUCAAAGGAAUUGUCGGGGACCCGCACAAGCGGUGGAGCAUGUGGUUUAAUUCGAAGCAACGCGAAGAACCUUACCUGCUCUUGACAUCCCGGUGACCGGCGUGUAAUGACGCCUUUUCUUCGGAACACCGGUGACAGGUGGUGCAUGGUUGUCGUCAGCUCGUGUCGUGAGAUGUUGGGUUAAGUCCCGCAACGAGCGCAACCCUUAUCUUCAGUAGCCAGCAUUUUGGAUGGGCACUCUGGAGAGACUGCCAGGGAUAACCUGGAGGAAGGUGGGGAUGACGUCAAAUCAUCAUGCCCCUUAUGAGCAGGGCUACACACGUGCUACAAUGGCGUAAACAAAGGGAAGCAAGCCUGCGAGGGUAAGCAAAUCUCAAAAAUAACGUCUCAGUUCGGAUUGUAGUCUGCAACUCGACUACAUGAAGUUGGAAUCGCUAGUAAUCGCGAAUCAGCAUGUCGCGGUGAAUACGUUCCCGGGUCUUGCAC
rnacentral:rRNA from 1 species